rnacentral:rRNA from 1 species
ACCAAGCUAUACCGCAUACGCCCUAAGGGGGAAAGCGGGGGAUCUUCGGACCUCGUGCUAUCGGAUGAGCCUGCGUAGGAUUAGCUAGUUGGUGAGGUAAAGGCUCACCAAGGCGACGAUCCUUAGCUGGUCUGAGAGGAUGAUCAGCCACACUGGGACUGAGACACGGCCCAG